ensembl:snRNA U6 U6 spliceosomal RNA
GUGUUCUCAACUCAGCAGCACAUAUACUGAAAUCAGAAUGAUAGAGAUUAGUAUGUUCCCUGCUCAAGAAUGACAUACAAAUACAUGAAACAUUCCAUAUUUUA